CGAUAAACAGAGGGAUUGGGAAAACCAGCUCAAACAGAAGCAACGGAUGCAAUGAAAUUCAGUGCCUCAGAAAGAAGCAGCUUCCCGGACAUCAGUUACUUCUACUGUGCAUCUGGGAAUGAGGUCCCACAAACAACAUGAAGACUCAAGUGUCUCAUGACCCCAUUUCCUUUGUGGGCAACCAAUAUCUAUCUUGAGUCCAUACUCAGUACAAAUCCUGUCUUCUCCUGGAUUCCUGGCCAUGCUUUGUGAUUGCAUUACACGGUUAAAUGGGAUAACUAGAGGCUUCUGGAAUUGUUGAAAAAUAUCCAUAAGAGGAUAACCUGAAGCAGAGGGAAUACCUGGGGUUUGCACCGGGAAUACUAAAAAAGCCAUCUUGAAUGCUUAAAAAAGAAAGAAGAAAUAGCAAAUGAAUUGGGCCUUCAGCCAAGUCUCCUGCCCAGCGUGCAGAUCUCAUCAGCAUAUUUCUGAAUUGAAUGACAGGGUACAGCAAAACAAAACAAAAAAAAAAAAACACAA